ensembl:snRNA U6 U6 spliceosomal RNA
GUGCUAGCUUGGGCAGCACAGAUGCUAAAAUGGGAACAACGCAGAGAUGAUUAGCAUGGAUGACCCCGUGCAAAGAUGACACACAAAUUCAUGAAGUGUUCCGUAUUUAU